CGAAAUAUGAAAUUCUAAGCGAAAAUAAUGAAUCUUGAAAAUUAUAACAACAAUUCGCCCGCUUGUCAGAGUAUCUAAAUUUUGUUACAGAGUUCCUUAUUCUCAUAUUCUUGUUUGAGCUUUUUAGUGGCGUCGCCGAUUUUUGAAAGCGGAUUCUUAUUUUGAAAAGAUGAUUUAAUGGAAAUUGGCUCUUGAAACAGAAAAGCAGAUUUCAAUCAUCUGGUAACCCUGUCCAACUCAUUCUUUUACCAAGAAGAAGUUUGUCCUACGAACCUAAAGGAGAGAACGCUUCCUCAUCUCAGAACUGUCCUUUGUUCCUGGGAGAUGCAGAUGCUGAGCUGAGAAAAGGAUUCAUUUUAAAACACUGUACUCUGGCUAGUAAAAUCUAUGACUAUUUAUUUCUGUACAGAUUGGGAAAACAGUUUAUAGUAUCGAAUUUUGCAAAAAUUUUAAAGUCAGUCAUAUAUGUCUUUUGAAAUUUAAUCAUGACAUUAUAUGUGACUUUUCUAUUCGGGUGAGUUUGCUUCUUAGUUUUAGAUAUUUUGAGUCAUAAAUUACAAUAAUCUGAAAAACAGAAUUAAGGAACUUAGAAAAAAUUCUUAUGAAGUGUAAUGUAUACUGGAAAAAAAUUCCUUAAUAAUUGUAUUUAAGGAAACAUUUCCGGAUUUAUACAAAUGAAAAACCUUAUGUUUGUGAAGUUUGCAGUAAAAAAUGGCAUUCAGAUGUACAUUUAGGGACACAUAGAAACGAAAAGCCUUAUUCCUAUAAAGUCUGCUGUAAACCAGUCUGAAAAAAAAAUAAUUUAAUAGUUCAUUUACUUAUUCAUACCAAAGAAAAGUCUUUUGUUUGUGAAAUCUGCCGUAAUUCCUUUUAUAAAGGUCUUGAUUUAAAAAUCUAUUU